rnacentral:rRNA from 1 species
GAUGAACGCUGGCGGCGUGCCUAAUACAUGCAAGUCGAGCAAAUGGAUUAAGAGCUUGCUCUUAUGAAGUUAGCGGCGGACGGGUGAGUAACACGUGGGUAACCUGCCCAUAAGACUGGGAUAACUCCGGGAAACCGGGGCUAAUACCGGAUAACAUUUUGAACCGCAUGGUUCGAAAUUGAAAGGCGGCUUCGGCUGUCACUUAUGGAUGGACCCGCGUCGCAUUAGCUAGUUGGUGAGGUAACGGCUCACCAAGGCAACGAUGCGUAGCCGACCUGAGAGGGUGAUCGGCCACACUGGGACUGCGACCCGGCCCAGACUCCUACGGGAGGCAGAAGUAGGGAAUCUUCCGCAAUGGACGAAAGUCUGACGGAGCAACGCCGCGUGAGUGAUGAAGGCUUUCGGGUCGUAAAACUCUGUUGUUAGGGAAGAACAAGUGCUAGUUGAAUAAGCUGGCACCUUGACGGUACCUAACCAGAAAGCCACGGCUAACUACGUGCCAGCCGCCGCCGUAA